rnacentral:rRNA from 1 species
UACGGAGGGUGCAAGCGUUAUCCGGAUUCACUGGGUUUAAAGGGUGCGUAGGUGGGCAGUUAAGUCAGUGGUGAAAUCUCCGGGCUUAACCCGGAAACUGCCAUUGAUACUAUCUGUCUUGAAUACUCUGGAGGUAAGCGGAAUAUGUCAUGUAGCGGUGAAAUGCUUAGAUAUGACAUAGAACACCGAUUGCGAAGGCAGCUUACUACGGAGUCAUUGACACUGAGGCACGAAAGCGUGGGGAUCAAACAGG